GACGUAGGGCGCGAGCGUUGUCCGGAUUUAUUGGGCGUAAAGAGCUCGUAGGCGGUCUGUCGCGUCUGCUGUGAAAUCCCGAGGCUCAACCUCGGGCUUGCAGUGGGUACGGGCAGGCUAGAGUGCGGGUAGGGGAGAAUGGGAACUCCGUGGUGUAGCGGUGGAAUGCGCAGAUAUCAGGAAGAACACCGAUGGCGAAGGCAGUUCUCUGGGCCGUAACUGACGCUGAG
rnacentral:rRNA from 1 species